GAUUAACGCUGGCGGCGUGCAUAACACAUGCAAGUCGAACGAUGAAACUUAGUCGACUUCUUCGGAAAGACACUAAGCGGCUUAGUGGCGAACGGGUGAGUAACGCGUGAGUAACCUGCCUUACACAAGGGGAUAGCCUUUGGAAACGAAGAAUAAUACCCUAUAAAACCAUAAAAGCACAUGCUAGAAUGGUCAAAGUGAUAGCGGUGUAAGAUGGACUUGCGUCUGAUUAGCUAGUUGGUGAGAUAAAAGCUCACCAAGGCAACGAUCAGUAGCCGGCUUGAGAGAGUGUACGGCCACAUUGGGACUGAGACACGGCCCAGACUCCUACGGGAGGCAGCAGUGGGGAAUUUUGCACAAUGGGGGAAACCCUGAUGCAGCGACGCCGCGUGAUUCAGAAGGCCUUCGGGUUGUAAAAAUCUUUUGUAUAGGAAGAAAAUGACAGUACUAUACGAAUAAGGUCCGGCUAAUUACGUG
rnacentral:rRNA from 1 species